rnacentral:rRNA from 1 species
UACGUAGGGACCGAGCGUUGUCCGGAAUCAUUGGGCGUAAAGAGCGUGUAGGCGGCUGACCAAGUCCUGCGUGAAAUCUUGCGGCUCAACCGCAAGCGGUCGUGGGAAACUGGUCAGCUAGAGUGCGGGAGAGGAGAGUGGAAUUCCUGGUGUAGCGGUGAAAUGCGCAGAUAUCAGGAAGAACACCCGUGGCGAAGGCGGCUCUCUGGAACGCAACUGACGCUGAGACGCGAAAGCGUGGGGAGCAAACAGG